UCUUUGUGGCUCAUCUCGGAGGUGCAGCCUGGCGUUGACUCGUCGGAGGUAGGCGAAGAAGAUGGUGACUACGGUGAGCCCACUCCGGUGGUUGGAGAUCGUGACGGAGGAGAGAGAGUCCUCCAGAUCCACUUUCUCUCUCCUCCACAAAUCUGAGUUCUUAUUUCCUUUCUGUUCAACACCCAACCUCCUCAUCCAUCUCCGAACAGCACCGAACCAUCCUCUUCUUCCUUCUCCUCCUCCGACCAGAACCCGACCCUUCUCCGCCUCUGACCAGCACCCGGCUAAGAACGAAGAGGAGAGAGAGGUCGGGUGCGAGGGGUUAGGGCUCAAACAUGGUGGAUGUUCCAGAGUUCAAGGCCCCCGUUUCGGAGACGAAUCGGAGCAACUCCGAAAGAAGUGUGCUUCGGGUUUCCGAGCUGCAAACCAAACCAAUUAGUAUUGGUUUCAGGCGAUUAUGCGAACGCUAUAGAGAGUUAAACUGAGCAGGACCAAUAAUAUCAUGCAAAGUAAUAGUAACUACUGCAGCCUCUUCCGUUUCAAUCAUAGCUGAGUAAUUGGUGAUUAUUUCUCUGUUUUGGUGGUAAACAAAUGCCUCGAUACAAAGAUGAGCCUCCUGCUAUUCGUGUUUACACAGUCUGUGACGAAUCAAGAUAUUUGAUAGUGAGGAAUGUUCCAUCUUAAGGCAGGGUUUAUAAUUGUCGAGCUCUUACUUACAGGCAAGACGUCAAGGCAAGAGAUAUUGAAGAGUAUAAAAAGCGCAAGCUUCCAACGCACCAGGUUCAUUGGCAGCUACACCAAGGACUGGAAACUCAAGUUACAAGUAUUUUUAUCUUAUAACAAAGUGCUAUUUUUUUCCUUUUUCGUUUUACUGUAUCUACAAACCGUUUUUGUCUUCAUAUGGUUUAUUUAGAAACUUCAAUCUUGUUCUUUUCUUUUGCUGUUGUAUAUGGAG